CUCCCAUUAACUGUGGUGUUGCAGGACUCAGUAACAGCUGAGGAUGUCAGAUUGAUUCAACAUUAGCAAACCUGGGCUGCAACACUUGCAGAGGGAUUUGUUGCUGAAUGUCACUGCCACGCUCUUGUGGAAGUGACACUGCAUUUCCUUGUAUGAACACGACUGAUUUUGAAGAAUAAACUUUGCAUGCUGAAUCAGGAUAGGAGAAGGAAGAAGAACAGUUGUGUGGAAGUAACUUUGAAUCUGCUCAACAAAACCUUUUUCUGCAUCCAGAGACUCAGGGUGGUUUUUCCAUAUAACUAAAGGAUGGAGCAUGUGAAAUAAUUUUCUCUCUGAGGUUGUGCUGAUACUCAGGGGAGUAAAGACCCAGUCUAACAAUGAUGAAUCAUUAAAUCUGAUGAUCCUCUACUGCAAGAAGGCUACUCCGUGCAAAGGUUGUCCUCCAGCUAAGAGAAUUGGUUUAACAGCACCAAAUCACACAGCAGCCAAGUCAAGUCACCAGGCAAGUAGAGAUGCAGAUUGAGUCUUGCGAGCACCCUGCAGUGCACUGCCAUAGACACCAGGUAAAAUGAGGGCAGGCUGCAGCUAUCGGGUGUCUCUUCACCAAAUUCUUGAGACAGACUGUGAGUCAGAGCUGGAAAUUUCAUGUUACUGGCCAUUUUAUAAUUGUCCCCAGUCCUGUCAAUAAAAAGCAAUUGUCUUUGUAAAGCUCUG